rnacentral:ncRNA from 1 species
GUCUGGUUAAUUCCGAUAGGAACGAGACUCUAGUCUCUUAGAUAGGUGCGUGGUUCUCUGCGCCUUGCACCCUUCUCAGAGAGACAAGCGGCUCCUAGCCGCACAAAACAAAGCAAUAACAGGCCUGUGAUGACCUUGGAUGUCCGGGGCCGCACGCGCGCUACACUGAAGGAAGCAGCGUGAUUUUAUCCCUGUCUGUUAAGACAGUCUGCUUAGAAAAAAGUGUCUUGAGCAAAUACAGAGG